rnacentral:rRNA from 1 species
UACGUAGGUUGCAAGCGUUAAUCGGAAUUACUGGGCGUAAAGCGUGCGCAGGCGGUUUUGUAAGUCUGUCGUGAAAGCCCCGGGCUCAACCUGGGAAUUGCGAUGGAGACUGCAAGGCUUGAAUCUGGCAGAGGGGGGUAGAAUUCCACGUGUAGCAGUGAAAUGCGUAGAGAUGUGGAGGAACACCGAUGGCGAAGGCAGCCCCCUGGGUCAAGAUUGACGCUCAUGCACGAAAGCGUGGGGAGCAAACAGG